AUUAGGUUAUGGGGCUAUGGUAUGGUUUAAGGUUUUUGGCAUUAGGUUUAAAAUCACUGUCCAAAAUCUUUGUAGGAACUCUUUUCCAACCUUUUGGAGUUGGUUAGACCAAAAAAAAAAAAAGGAAAAAUGAAAAAAAAAUAUUUGGGGUGUUCAGGCUUCCUAAAAGUAAUACCCGGGUAUUAGGUUAUGGGGCUAUGGUAAGGUUUAAGGUUUUUGGCAUUAGGGUUAAAAUCACUGUCCAAAACCUUUGUAGGAACUCUUUUCCAACCUUUUGGAGUUAGUUAGACCAAAAAAAAAUGAAAAAUAAAAAAAUAUAUAUUUGGGGUUUACGGGCUUCCUGAAUGUAAUACCCGGGUAUUAGAUUUUAAGGCUAGGGUAAGGUUUAAGUUUUUUGGCGUUAGGGUUAAAAUCACUGUCCAAAACCUUUGUAGGAACUCUUUUCCAACCUUUUGGAGUUAGUUAGACCAAAAAAAAAGAAAAAUGAAAAAAAAAAAUUUGGGGUGUUCAGGCUUCCUAAAGUAAUACCCGGGUAUUAGGUUAUGGGGCUAUGGUAAGGUUUAAGGUUUUUGGCGUUAGGGUUAAAAUCACUGUCCAAAACCUUUGUAGGAACUCUUUUCCAACCUUUUGGAGUUAGUUAGACCAAAAAAAAAUGAAAAAAAGAAAAAAAAAUUAUUGGGGGUUUUCGGGCUCCCUAAAAGUAAUACCCGGGUAUUAGGUUUUGGGACUAGGGAAAGGUUUAAGUUUUUUGGCGUUAGGGUUAAAAUCACUGUCCAAAACCUUUGUAGGAACUCUUUUCCAACCUUUUGGAGUUGGUUAGACAAAAAAAAAUGUAAAAUGAAAAAAAAAAAUAUUUGGGGUUUAAGGGCUUCCUGAAGGUAAUACCCGGGUAUUAGGUUUUGGGGCUAGGGUAAGGUUUAAGGUUUUUGGCGUUAGGGUUAAAAUCACUGUCCAAAACCUUUGUAGGAACUCUUUUCCAACCUUUUGGAGUUGUUUACACCAAAAAAAAAUUAAAAUGAAAAAAAAAAUAUUUGGGGUGUUCGGGCUUCCUGAAGGUAAUACCCGGGUAUUAGAUUUUAAGGUUAGGGUAAGGUUUAAGGUUUUUGGCGUUAGGGUUAAAAUCACUGUCCAAAACCUUUGUAGGAACUCUUUUCCAACCUUUUAGAGUUAGACAAAAAAAAAAAAUGUAAAAUGAAAAAAAAAUGUUUGGGGUUUUCGGGCUUCCUGAAGGUAAUACCCGGGUAUUAGGUUAUGGGGCUAUGGUAUGGUUUAAGGUUUUUGGCAUUAGGUCUAAAAUCACUGUCCAAAACCUUUGUAGGAACUCUUUUCCAACCUUUUGGAGUUAGUUAGACCAAAAAAAAAUGUAAAAUGAAAAAAAAAUAUUUGGGGUUUUCGGGCUUCCUGUGGUAAUACCCGGGUAUUAGAUUUAAAGGCUAUGGUAAGGUUUAAGCUUAAUGGCGUUAGGGUUAAAAUCACUGUCCAAAACCUUUGUAGGAACUCUUUUCCAACCUUUUGGAGUUAGUUAGACCAAAAAAAAUGAAAAAGAAAAAAAAAUUAUUGGGGGUUUUCGGGCUCCCUGAAAGUAAUACCCGGGUAUUAGGUUUUGGGGCUAGGGUAAGGUUUAAGGUUUUUGGCGUUAGGGUUAAAAUCACUGUCCAAAACCUUUGUAGGAACUCUUUUCCAACCUUUUGGAGUUAGUUAGACCAAAAAAAAUGAAAAAUGAAAAAAAAAUAUUUGGGGUGUUCAGGCUUCCUAAAAGUAAUACCCGGGUAUUAGGUUUUGGGGCUAUGGUAAGGUUUAAGGUUUUUGGCGUUAGGGUUAAAAUCACUGUCCAAAACCUUUGUAGGAACUCUUUUCCAACCUUUUGGAGUUAGUUAGACCAAAAAAAAAUGAAAAAUGAAAAAAAAUAUUUGGGGUUUUCGGGCUUCCUGAAGGUAAUACCCAGGUAUUAGGUUAUGGGGCUAUGGUAAGGUUUAAGGUUUUUGGCGUUAGGGUUAAAAUCACUGUCCAAAACCUUUGUAGGAACUCGUUUCCAACCUUUUGGAGUUAGUUAGACCAAAAAAAAAAAAAUGAAAAAUGAAAAAAAAAUAUUUGGGGUGUUCAGGCUUCCUAAAAGUAAUACCCGGGUAUUAGGUUAUGGGGCUAUGGUAAGGUUUAAGGUUUUUGGCAUUAGGGUUAAAAUCACUGUCCAAAACCUUUGUAGGAACUCUUUCCCAACCUUUUGGAGUUAGUUAGACCAAAAAAAAAAUGAAAAAUGAAAAAAAAUUAUUUGGGGUGUUCAGGCUUCCUAAAAGUAAUACCCGGGUAUUAGGUUAUGGGGCUAUGGUAAGGUUUAAGGUUUUUGGCGUUAGGGUUAAAAUCACUGUCCAAAACCUUUGUAGGAACUCUUUUCCAACCUUUUGGAGUUAGUUAGACCAAAAAAAAAAAAGGAAAAAUGAAAAAAAAAUAUUUGGGGUGUUCAGGCUUCCUAAAAGUAAUACCCGGGUAUUAGGUUAUGGGGCUAUGGUAAGGUUUAAGGCUUUUGGCAUUAGGGUUAAAAUCACUGUCCAAAACCUUUGAAGGAACUCUUUUCCAACCUUUUGGAGUUAGUUAGACCAAAAAAAAUGAAAAAUAAAAAAAUAUAUAUUUGGGGUUACCCGGGCUUCCUGAAUGUAAUACCUGGGUAUUAGAUUUUAAGGCUAGGGUAAGGUUUAAGUUUUUUGGCGUUAGGGUUAAAAUCACUGUCCAAAACCUUUGUAGGAACUUUUUUCCAACCUUUUGGAGUUAGUUAGACCAAAAAAAAAGAAAAAUGAAAAAAAAAUAUUUGGGGUGUUUAGGCUUCCUGAAUGUAAUACCCGGGUGGUAGAUUUUAAGGCUAGGGUAAGGUUUAAGUUUUUUGGUGUUAGGGUUAAAAUCACUGUCCAAAACCUUUGUAGGAACUCUUUUCCAACCUUUUGGAGUUAGUUAGACCAAAAAGAGAAAGAAAAAUGGACAAAAAAAUAUUUGGGGUGUUCAGGCUUCCUAAAAGUAAUACCCGGGUAUUAGGUUAUGGGGCUAUGGUAAGGUUUAAGGUUUUUGGCGUUAGGGUUAAAAUCACUGUCCAAAACCUUUGUAGGAACUCUUUUCCAACCUUUUGGAGUUAGUUAGACCAAAAAAAAUGAAAAAAGAAAAAAAAAUUAUUGGGGGUUUUCGGGCUCCCUAAAAGUAAUACCCGGGUAUUAGGUUUUGGGACUAGGGAAAGGUUUAAGUUUUUUGGCGUUAGGGUUAAAAUCACUGUCCAAAACCUUUGUAGGAACUCUUUUCCAACCUUUUGGAGUUAGUUAGACCAAAAAAAUAAGAAAAAUGAAAAAAAAAUAUUUGGGGUGUUCAGGCUUCCUAAAAGUAAUACCCGGGUAUUAGGUUAUGGGGCUAUGGUAAGGUUUAACGUUUUGGCGUUAGGUUUAAAAUCACUGUCCAAAACCUUUGUAGGAACUCUUUUCCAACCUUUUGGAGUUAGACCAAAAAAAAAUGAAAAAUGAAAAAAAAAAUAUUUGGGGUUUUCGGGCUUCCUUAAUGUAAUACCCGGGUAUUAGAUUUUAAGGCCAGGGUAAGGUUUAAGUUUUUUGGCAUUAGGGUUAAAAUCACUGUCCAAAACCUUUGUAGGAACUCUUUUCCAACCUUUUGGAUUUGGUUAGACCAAAAAAAAAGAAAAAUGAAAGAAAAAUAUUUGGGGUGUUCAGACUUCCUAAAAGUAUUAGGUUAUGGGGCUAUGGUAAGGUUUAAGGUUUUUGGCGUUAGGGUUAAAAUCACUGUCCAAAACCUUUGUAGGAACUCUUUUCCAACCUUUUGGAGUUAGUUAGACCAAAAAAAAAUGAAAAAUUAAAAAAAAAUAUUUGGGGUUUAAGGGCUUCCUGAAGGUAAUACCCGGGUAUUAGGUUUUGGGGCUAGGGUAAGGUUUAAGGUUUUUGGCAUUAGGGUUAAAAUCACUGUCCAAAACCUUGUAGGAACUAUUUUCCAACCUUUUGGAGUUGGUUACACCAAAAAAAAAUUAAAAUGAAAAAAAAAAUAUUUGGGGUGUUCGGGCUUCCUGAAGGUAAUACCCGGGUAUUAGAUUUUAAGGUUAGGGUAAGGUUUAAGGUUUUUGGCGUUAGGGUUAAAAUCACUGUCCAAAACCUUUGUAGGAACUCUUUUCCAACCUUUUGGAGUUAGUUAGACCAAAAAAAAUGAAAAAAGAAAAAAAAUAUUUGGGGUUUUCGUGCUCCCUGAAAGUAAUACCCGGGUAUUAGGUUUUGGCACUAGGGAAAGGUUUAAGGUUUUUGGCGUUAGGGUUAAAAUCACUGUCCAAAACCUUUGUAGGAACUCUUUUCCAACCUUUUGGAGUUAGUUAGACCAAAAAAAAAUGUAAAAUGAAAAAAAAAUGUUUGGGGUUUUCAGGCUUCCUGAAGGUAAUACCCGGGUAUUAGGUUAUGGGGCUAUGGUAAGGUUUAAGGUUUUUGGCAUUAGGGUUAAAAUCACUGUCCAAAACCUUUGUAGGAACUCUUUUCCAACCUUUUGGAGUUUGUUAGACCAAAAAAAAAAUGUAAAAUGAAAAAGAAAUAUUUGGGGUUUUCGGGCUUCCUGAAGGUAAUAUCCGGGUAUUAGGUUAUGGGGCUAUGGUAAGGUUUAAGGUUUUUGGCGUUAGGGUUAAAAUCACUGUCCAAAACCUUUGUAGGAACUCUUUUCCAACCUUUUGGAGUUAGUUAGACCAAAAAAAAUGAAAAAAGAAAAAAAAUAUUUGGGGUUUUCGUGCUCCCUGAAAGUAAUACCCGGGUAUUAGGUUUUGGCACUAGGGAAAGGUUUAAGGUUUUUGGCGUUAGGGUUAAAAUCACUGUCCAAAACCUUUGUAGGAACUCUUUUCCAACCUUUUAGAGUUAGACAAAAAAAAAAUGUAAAAUGAAAAAAAAAUGUUUGGGGUUUUCGGGCUUCCUGAAGGUAAUACCCGGGUAUUAGGUUAUGGGGCUAUGGUAUGGUUUAAGGUUUUUGGCAUUAGGUCUAAAAUCACUGUCCAAAACCUUUGUAGGAACUCUUUUCCAACCUUUUGGAGUUACUUAGACCAAAAAAAUAUGAAAAAGGAAAAAAAAAUAUUUGGGGUUUUCGGGCUUCCUGUGGUAAUACCCGGGUAUUAGAUUUAAAGGCUAUGGUAAGGUUUAAGCUUAAUGGCGUUAGGGUUAAAAUCACUGUCCAAAACCUUUGUAGGAACUCUUUUCCAAACUUUUGGAGUUACUUAGACCAAAAAAAAAAAUGAAAAAAGAAAAAAAAAUUAUUGGGGGUUUUCGGGCUCCCUGAAAGUAAUACCCGGGUAUUAGGUUUUGGGACUAGGGAAAAGUUUAAGGUUUUUGGCGUUAGGGUUAAAAUCACUGUCCAAAACCUUUGUAUGAACUCUUUUCUAACCUUUUGGAGUUAGUUAGACCAAAAAAAAAUGAAAAAUGAAAAAAAAAUAUUUGGGGUGUUCAGGCUUCCUAAAAGUAAUACCCCAGUAUUAGGUUUUGGGGCUAUGGUAAGGUUUAAGGUUUUUGGCGUUAGGGUUAAAAUCACUGUCCAAAACCUUUGUAGGAACUCUUUUCCAACCUUUUGGAGUUACUUAGACCAAAAAAUAUGAAAAAGGAAAAAAAAAUAUUUGGGGUUUUCGGGCUUCCUGAAGGUAAUACCCAGGUAUUAGGUUAUGGGGCUAUGGUAAGGUUUAAGGUUUUUGGCAUUAGGUUUAAAAUCACUGUCCAAAACCUUUGUAGGAACUCUUUCCCAACCUUUUGGAGUUAGUUAGACCAAAAAAAAAAUGAAAAAUGAAAAAAAAAUAUUUGGGGUGUUCAGGCUUCCUAAAAGUAAUACCCGGGUAUUAGGUUAUGGGGCUAUGGUAAGGUUUAAAGUUUUUGGCAUUAGGGUUAAAAUCACUGUCCAAAACCUUUGUAGGAACUCUUUCCCAACCUUUUGGAGUUAGUUAGACCAAAAAAAAAAAAGAAAAAUGAAAAAAAAAUAUUUGGGGUGUUCAGGCUUCCUAAAAGUAAUACCCGGGUAUUAGGUUAUGGGGCUAUGGUAUGGUUUAAGGUUUUUGGCAUUAGGUUUAAAAUCACUGUCCAAAAUCUUUGUAGGAACUCUUUUCCAACCUUUUGGAGUUGGUUAGACCAAAAAAAAAGAAAAAUGAAAAAAAAAUAUUUGGGGUGUUCAGGCUUCCUAAAAGUAAUACCCGGGUAUUAGGUUAUGGGGCUAUGGUAAGGUUUAAGGCUUUUGGCAUUAGGGUUAAAAUCACUGUCCAAAACCUUUGAAGGAACUCUUUUCCAACCUUUUGGAAUUAGUUAGACCAAAAAAAAAUGAAAAAUAAAAAAAUAUAUAUUUAGGGUUUACGGGCUUCCUGAAUGUAAUACCUGGGUAUUAGAUUUUAAGGCUAGGGUAAGGUUUAAGUUUUUUGGCGUUAGGGUUAAAAUCACUGUCCAAAACCUUUGUAGGAACUUUUUUCCAACCUUUUGGAGUUAGUUAGACCAAAAAAAAAGAAAAAUGAAAAAGGAAAAAAAAUAUUUGGGGUGUUUAGGCUUCCUGAAUGUAUUACCCGGGUGGUAGAUUUUAAGGCUAGGGUAAGGUUUAAGUUUUUUGGUGUUAGGGUUAAAAUCACUGUCCAAAACCUUUGUAGGAACUCUUUUCCAACCUUUUGGAGGUAGUUAGACCAAAAAAAAAAGAAAAAUGAAAAAAAAAAAUUUGGGGUGUUCAGGCUCCCUUAAAGUAAUACCUGGGUACUAGGUUAUGGGGCUAUGGUAAGGUUUAAGGUUUUUGGCGUUUGGGUAAAAAUCACUGUCCAAAACCUUUGUAGGAACUCUUUUCCAACCUUUGUGAGUUAGUUAGACCAAAAAAAAUGAAAAAAGAAAAAAAAAUUAUUGGGGGUUUUCGGGCUCCCUAAAAGUAAUACCCGGGUAUUAGGUUUUGGGACUAGGGAAAGGUUUAAGUUUUUUGGCGUUAGGGUUAAAAUCACUGUCCAAAACCUUUGUAGGAACUCUUUUCCAACCUUUUGGAGUUAGACCAAAAAAAUAAGAAAAAUGAAAAAAAAAUAUUUGGGGUGUUCAGGUUUCCUAAAAGUAAUACCCGGGUAUUAGGUUAUGGGGCUAUGGUAAGGUUUAACGUUUUGGCGUUAGGUUUAAAAUCACUGUCCAAAACCUUUGUAGGAACUCUUUUCCAACCUUUUGGAGUUAGACCAAAAAAAGAAUGAAAAAUGAAAAAAAAAAUAUUUGGGGUUUUCGGGCUUCCUUAAUGUAAUACCCGGGUAUUAAGUUUUAAGGCCAGGGUAAGGUUUAAGUUUUUUGGCAUUAGGGUUAAAAUCACUGUCUAAAACCUUUGUAGGAACUCUUUUCCAACCUUUUGGAUUUGGUUAGACCAAAAAAAAAGAAAAAUGAAAGAAAAAUAUUUGGGGUGUUCAGACUUCCUAAAAGUAUUAGGUUAUGGGGCUAUGGUAAGGUUUAAGGUUUUUGGCGUUAGGGUUAAAAUCACUGUCCAAAACCUUUGUAGGAACUCUUUUCCAACCUUUUGGAGUUGGUUAGACAAAAAAAAAAAAGUAAAAUGAAAAAAAAAAUAUUUGGGGUUUAAGGGCUUCCUGAAGGUAAUACCCGGGUAUUAGGUUUUGGGGCUAGGGUAAGGUUUAAGGUUUUUGGCAUUAGGGUUAAAAUCACUGUCCAAAACCUUGUAGGAACUCUUUUCCAACCUUUUAGAGUUAGACAAAAAAAAAAAAUGUAAAAUGAAAAAAAAAUGUUUGGGGUUUUCGGGCUUCCUGAAGGUAAUACCCGGGUAUUAGGUUAUGGGGCUAUGGUAUGGUUUAAGGUUUUUGGCAUUAGGUCUAAAAUCACUGUCCAAAACCUUUGUAGGAACUCUUUCCCAACCUUUUGGAGUUUGUUAGACCAAAAAAAAAUGUCAAAUGAAAAAAAAAUGUUUGGGGUUUUCGGGCUUCCUGAAGGUAAUACCCGGGUAUUAGGUUAUGGGGCUAUGGUAUGGUUUAAGGUUUUUGGCAUUAGGUCUAAAAUCACUGUCCAAAACCUUUGUAUGAACUCUUUUCCAACCUUUUGGAGUUACUUAGACCAAAAAAAUAUGAAAAAGGAAAAAAAAAUAUUUGGGGUUUUCGGGCUUCCUGUGGUAAUACCCGGGUAUUAGAUUUAAAGGCUAUGGUAAGGUUUAAGCUUAAUGGCGUUAGGGUUAAAAUCACUGUCCAAAACCUUUGUAUGAACUCUUUUCCAACCUUUUGGAGUUAGACAAAAAAAAAAAUGAAAAAUGAAAAAAAAAUAUUUAGUGUUCAGGGUUCCUAAAAGUAAUACCCGGGUAUUAGGUUAUGGGGCUAUGGUAUGGUUUAAGGUUUUUGGC